ACUGGUUGAUCCUGCCAGUGACAUACGCUUGUCUCAGAGAUUAAGCCAUGCAAAUUCCGAUCAAGCAAUCAAUGCUAGUCUGUAUCUGGCUCAUUUUAUCACUUGUAAUCUAUGCGGAAGGUGCGUCCGGAUAACUGCACUAAUUGUGGAGCUAAUACGAGCACCAGUCUGAGGACUCCUCCGUACUUUCUGGUAGCCUCCGGGCUAUUUGAACAUGUGCGAGAGGUUCAACCGUUCACUCGGUCUUCCGCGUGAGCUUGUGAGCUAUCAGCUGUGGAUGGUGAGGCAUUGGCUCACCAUGGCGAUGACGGCUACGGGGAAUUAGGGUUCGAUUCCGGAGAGGGAGCCUGAUAAACGGCUACCACAUCUAAGGAUGGCAGCAGGCGCGUAAAUUACCCAAUGCUAACACAGUGAGGUAGUGACAAGAAAUACCAUUUGGUGGAAUUUUCUGCCUUUUGGAAUGAGCGGGUGUUAAAUCUGCCCGCGAGUAUCAAUUGGAGGGCAAGUCUGGUGCCAGCAGCCGCGGUAAUUCCAGCUCCAAUAGCGUAUAUUAAAGUUGUUGCGGUUAAAAAGCUCGUAGUCGGAGAUCGGGCGCAAGGUUCUCUACUCACGUGGAGUUACCUACGCUCUAUGAUAUUUCAUGAUACUUUGAGGAAAACAGAGUGCUCAAAAUGUGCUCUCGCUCAAAUGUCGCAGCAUGGAAUAUCAACAAUGACUCGUUGGGCUACCAGCGCCCAUCGAGUAAUGCUAAAAGGGAGCAGUCGGGGCUGUCCGAAUUAAGCAGAUAGAGGUGAAAUUCUUGGACCUGCUUAAGACGAUCAAAAGCGAAAGCAUUCAGCAAGGCUGUCUCCAUCGAUCAAGAACGAAAGUUAGGGGAUCGAAGACGAUCAGAUACCGUCGUAGUCUUAACCAUAAACGAUGCCGACUUAGCUUUAGACUCGUCAACGAACGGGUUUGGGGCUGUAGAGAAAUCAAAGUUCUUGGGCUCCGGGGGGAGUAUGGUCGCAAGGCUGAAACUUAAAGGAAUUGACGGCGAAGCACCACAAGGUGUGGAGCCUGCGGCUUAAUUUGACCCAACACGGGAAAACUCACCAGGUCAAGACACGCGGAGGAGUGACAGACUGAAAGCUCUUUCUCGAUUGCGUGAUAGGUGGUGCAUGGCCGUUCUUAGUUGGUGGAGUGAUCUGUCUGGUUAAUUCCGAUAACGAACGAGACCUCAGCCUACUAAAUAAACGUCUAGUCUCAACUAGUAUGUUUUCUUAGAGGGACUUCCUGUGCAAGCAGGCGGAAGACUGAGGCAAUAGCAGGUCUGUGAUGCCCUUAGAUGUCCUGGGCCGCACGCGCGCUACACUGGCACGAACAACGGGUCUCUGAAACCGAUAGGUCCAAGUAACCCCUAAUUCGUGUCGUGCUUGGGAUUGGACAUUGUAAUUAUUGUCCAUGAACGAGGAAUACCUAGUAGGCAUGGGUCAUCAACUCAUGCCGACUAUGUCACUGCUUCGUGUACACACCGCCCGUCGCUCCUACCGAUUGAAUCAAUUGGUGAAUGUCACAGACUCUGCUCACGUGGAGCAAGUGACGUGAAUCACAUGAUUUAGAGGAAGGAGAAGUCGUAACAAGGUC
rnacentral:rRNA from 1 species